rnacentral:rRNA from 1 species
UACAGAGGUCUCAAGCGUUGUUCGGAUUCAUUGGGCGUAAAGGGUGCGUAGGCGGCUUGUCGCGUCGACUGUGAAAACCCGCGGCUCAACUGCGGGCCUGCAGCCGAUACGGGCAGGCUAGAGUUCGGUAGGGGAGACUGGAAUUCCUGGUGUAGCGGUGAAAUGCGCAGAUAUCAGGAGGAACACCGGUGGCGAAGGCGGGUCUCUGGGCCGAUACUGACGCUGAGACGCGAAAGCGUGGGGAGCAAACAGG